rnacentral:misc_RNA from 1 species
UCCGGCUUACACCGGCGGUAUCCUGUGAGUUCCCACCUUUCGUGCUGGUAACACAGGACGAGGGUUGCGCUCGUUGGCGGACUUAACCGUACACCUCACGGCACGAGCUGACGACAGCCAUGCAACAAGUGUCUUCACGUCUCCCUUUUGGGGAGAGGGGCCCAUCUCUGGACCUUGCGAUCGAUGUCAAACCUGGGUAAGGUUCUUCGGUUAGUAUCGAAUUAAUCCACAUGCUCCACCGCUUGUGCGGGUCCCCGUCAAUUCAUUUGAGUUUCAACCUUGCGGCCGUACUCCCCAGGCGGGAUACUUAGUGCGUUAGCUGCGGCACGAGAGGGGUCGAUACCUCUCACGCCUAGUAUCCAUCGUUUAGGGUGUGGACUAC